AAAUUAGGAGAGUUUGAUCCCGGCUCAGAACGAACGCUGGCGGCACGCUUAACACAUGCAAGUCGAACGGCAGCGGGUCCUUCGGGAUG
rnacentral:rRNA from 15 species